GACGCGUUGGCGCAAUGGUAGCGCGUCCGCCUCCAGAGCGGAAGGCUGGGAGUUCGAGUCUCUCACGCGUCA
rfam:Conidiobolus coronatus NRRL 28638 unplaced genomic scaffold CONCOscaffold_126, whole genome shotgun sequence.